UACGUAGGGUGCGAGCGUUAAUCGGAAUUACUGGGCGUAAAGCGUGCGCAGGCGGCUUUGCAAGACAGAUGUGAAAUCCCCGGGCUCAACCUGGGAACUGCAUUUGUGACUGCAAGGCUAGAGUACGGCAGAGGCGGAUGGAAUUCCGCGUGUAGCAGUGAAAUGCGUAGAUAUGCGGAGGAACACCAAUGGCGAAGGCAAUCCCCUGGGCCUGUACUGACGCUCAUGCACGAAAGCGUGGGGAGCAAACAGG
rnacentral:rRNA from 1 species